UUGAAGACACUAACAAUGCCCUUGUGACUGGUGUAGACUUGUCCCUCUGGGCUUUCCAAUCAAACGUGACCGCAUGUGGACCUGUCAUUAACACAGGAGUUAAACAGGAGCUCAGUUGAGCGCCAUGAGCCGCUGUCGAAAUAUGCUUUGUGUUGCAGACGUUCAUUUUCCCCUGGCCAUGGCACCAUGUGGGCCUUCAGCUCCAUGUUCCUGCUUCCAUGCUUAAUAUCAACUGGCCUCAGUGCUUCCCAGCCAUCACACUUUACCCAGGAGUGAAUGCACACAUCCUAAGCGGUGUCUGUGAUCUAUUCAGUGACCAUGUAUGUGAUAAUAAUAUGAGGACAUUUAAAGAAAACAGUGCCUAGGUUCAUAUGAGGAGCAUGCCACAAGGUUUACAGUCCUACCUGGACAUCUGGACAUGCUCCUACUCCCAGUGUUCAAGGGCAGAAGUCCAAACAUUCCAAAGAAGUUCAAGUUAAAAUCACUUAAGCCUCAACGAGGGCUGAGGAGGCUUUGCUCUGUGACCCUGCACAGUAGGGACAAAGGCUGUUCAGGUCCUGACCCACAAGCAAUGGCAAGGCCUCAGUCCAGGGUUCAUUCUGCUUGUACCUGGCUGUGGGCGAUAAGAACACUCUAUUGACGUGUGUCCUUAAAAAUUUGUCCAUAAAUACUAAGGAAACACAACAUCAAGUCUUCUUACUGUGUGGUUCACAAAGCACUUUAAUUAACUGUUUCCUUAAUUGUGUCAAUGAGCAAAUAUCCUAUUAGUACAGCCUACAUGCUAGUGCUUUGAAGUGUAGUGAUGCAUUGUGAGUCCUGCACAGUUGGGAAAGUAUUUUUUUAUUAUAAACACUAAACUUAAAAAAAAAAAACAUAAAUUUUCUCCUUGUCCCUGUGGUGUCCCUCAAGGGAUGAUGUGCUUUUAGAUGGUUUUAACCCAGGGGUAAUGCAUUUGGGAAGUAAAUAACUUCAGUAAUUCUGUUUGCAUUUGAAUGAACAUGCAGCCAAGGUCAUAACACAAGCUGUAAACUUUGGUGGUCUCGGCUCAUAAAUUUAACUUAAUUCAGCGACAGACUUCCAGGGAGCGGCGGAGCUCGCGUUUUAAUUUAUGGCACAUACAGACUUGUGUAUUUACAUGUUCGCAGGGCAUGACAGGAACUUCUGCGGCUUGUAUAUUAACCAGCGAAUUAAGCUCUAAUGAUAGCAUUACAUGAAUGGAAAAAACAGUCAUGGAUCAUUUGCAGAAUCAGGGUUAUUCACUGUUUUCUUGAUUUACCAUUAGUUUCUCAUUUCCUACAUUGUGUUAAUGACUCACUUUUUCAAGCAUUAAUUUGGGACAGAGAGCUUGAUCAUUGUCAUUUAAUGAGAAUAAACACUUCUAUCAAGCUAUCAAUAACCUGAGGGUGGAGCAUAUGUGAGGGUAAAUUUGCAGUUUGUCAGACUGUAGUUCAAUGGUUUUUCCAGCUGUAUGGAAGCAGGCAUUUUUGAAUAAUGAUAAAGCCUGAUGUUCUGUGAACACAGGAAAAUGCUAAUAUGGUUCCAUAAAAAUAUAACCCAGAGAUGAAAUAAAUGGCUAUCUCGGCUAGCCAGAAAUGGUUCAAGAUCAGAUUUUUAAAAUCAUUAUUGUAACACCACAGCACAAUAAUAUGGAUCGGCAAAGCUAAUCAAAGUCACAUACAGAAGCAGAGAGUUUCAAUCAAUAUUCUGUGGGCUUUAUUGUAUUGGCCAUUGACCAUCAUAACUUUGAGUCUUGAUGUAGGAUACCCUUCAGCAAUUUGGGUCAUUAGCAACAACUUUUAAUUUCCCAUUUUUAAUAUACUAUCCUGAAUUUUUGGUAGUUGUCCUGUACCACUGCAGACGUAUUUGGCCAUCGAUGUUCAGAAGAAAAAGGUCUCGAUCAGGUAGUUUAUAAUUUUUGUAACCAGUGUGACAUAGUUGUUUAUGUAUGUCUGUGUGUAAUGUAUCAUCCAGGUUCCAUAGUUCAAUCACCAUAAUAAAGAUUUUUGGAUUAUUUUGAAAA